GCCUACCGGCCAUCCCACCCUGGUAACGCCCGAUUCUCGUCUGAUCUCGGAAGCUAAGCAGGGUCGGGCCUGGUUAGUACUUGAGAUGGGGACCUCCUGGGAAUACCGGGUUGCUGUAGGCU
ensembl:rRNA 5S_rRNA 5S ribosomal RNA